CCUACGGGUGGCAGCAGUGGGGAAUAUUGCGCAAUGGGCGAAAGCCUGACGCAGCGACGCCGCGUGAGGGAUGAAGGUCUUCGGAUCGUAAACCUCUGUCAGCAGGGAAGAACGGUCACUGUGCUACUCAGCAGUGAAUUGACGGUACCUGCAAAGGAAGCACCGGCUAACUCCGUGCCAGCAGCCGCGGUAAUACGGAGGGUGCGAGCGUUAAGCGGAAUUACUGGGCGUAAAGCGCUCGUAGGCGGUAUGUCAAGUCAAGGGUGAAAUCCGGAGGCUCAACCUCCGAAUUGCAUUUGAAACUGUUUUUCUUGAGUACUGGAGAGGCAGACGGAAUUCCUUGUGUAGCGGUGAAAUGCGUAGAUAUAAGGAGGAACACCAGUGGCGAAGGCGGUCUGCUGGACAGCAACUGACGGUGAGGCGCGAAAGCGUGGGGAGCAAACAGGAUUAGAUACCCUUGUAGUC
rnacentral:rRNA from 1 species